GUCUCCAGUAGCUCAGUGGUUAGAGCAUCCGGCUAGGUCGUGGGUUCAAAUCCCAUCUGGGGCU
rnacentral:tRNA from 1 species